UUGUUGUAGUAAAUUAGAGCUAACUGGUGGGACGUGGCUACUGCUCACACACACACACACACACACACACACACACACACACACACACACACACACACACACACACACACACACACACACACACACACACACACAUCAUCAUCAUCUCUGUGAAUCUCCAGGAGGAUCAGGGAGAUUUUCUACAAGCAAGAAGGAAACCAGGUGCACACGUCCUCCAGAACCGUUCUUCUUUCCUGCUGAAGACUAAGAUGGCUACUUGCGGGUCAUGUUUCUGGUGCAUCAUAUGGCUCAUUGUUCUGCUGUUCAUUGGCUGGCCCAUCAGCAUCGCUUUAGGGGGUCUCUACGGCCUCAUCAGCCCCCUCACCACCUGCCUUGGUCUGGACCGACUGUCUGAUUUACUCCUGGAGGGAGCUAAUGUGGGCAGAACCUGUGCCAAUAACAUGAGGCACAGCAAGCCUUUGUGUUGAAAUCCAUCCUGUCUGAUCAGGACCAGAAAAAACAGAGGUCGAAGCCUUCACCUCAGGAAGAACUGUUAAUGUCUGAUUUAUGUGGAGCUAUUCCAGCACGACUGGUGCAUAAUUCCCUGAGAAACCUUCCAGCAACUUAUGUCACAAUAAGGUCCAGAAAGUCCUGGAAAAUUGAUUCCUCUCUCACUGGUAACAUGUAAUUAACUACAGAUUUUAAAUUUGCAUGGGUUUGUCAGGAAGAAAAUAGGCUUGCAGUGCAUGGUCUGUGUUUGCUGUUUAAUUCACGAUGACGCUGCGUGGAGACGAUAAGAACGAAAAUGCCAAUUUAACAAUGAAAAUAUUUAGACUUGGUAAUGUCUGUAUGGAAAUAUAUGGAAAUGCGAUUAAAACUGCUUUGAACUUGC